CCAACUCUCAGUUGAUCUGUUUAUAGACGACUUAUGAUAAAAAAUCUGUAAAGAUGUCAACUUUGUAAUUAGGAUAAAUACAAAAUAUUUUUAUCAAUUCUCUUCCCUCUACAGAAAAAAAAAAAAAACUUAUAAGAGGCCUGGCCAAUUAAUUGAAUGUGAGCUCAACUUGGCAGUCAGAAUACUGAAUGAUUAGAUGCAAUGUGACAUUAUAAAGAUCGGCAACCUCAUAUGUAACAAGAUUGAUCUUCAAGCGGAAAGUGGUGAGUAUUUCUCAAGUGAGAAAAAGAAGACUGCGAAGAAGUGGGAAGAGAAGCAGGAGAAGCAGGCAGCAAAGACAGCUGAAAACUAGAGGAAGAGAAAGGCUGCAUUUGUUCCGCCAAAUGUUCACUCUGCAACCAGUGGCAGUUCUAUUGUUUUGAUAAAAGACAUUUCUCAUUUUGGAAUUAUUCUGAUAACUUGGCAUGCUUUUUAGGAAUCCUCUGCUCAUGCAUCUGAUAGCGCUAAAUCUGACAAUGUCAAGAGUGAGGCGUCUGAUGUUGCGGCGUCUUUGAAGAUACAUUGAACCAAAUGCAAUACAGAUAUAGGACAUACUUACAAUACCGCAACAACACAACAUAUCAUGUCCAAUACAGUGUCCAACGUGACACAGUCACAAAAUUCAAGUGCAUGUGCUUUCUAUGAGGCUGCCAUUUCCUUAGGCAUAACCAGUUUCCUUCUGGCUUUAAUUUCUAGUAAAGCACUUGCAUCUAAUCCUGUAUAUCUCAAAAUUAAAUCUCGUGGUUUGCCCCUCCUUGUAUGUGUAUUCAGUGAUUGUGUAAAACUCGUGCUAAAUCUGUUGUGAGGGAAUAUUUAGGAAAAUGUGACAGUUUUGUUGGUAUCGAAAUGAAUUGGUUUAGAGACCUUGAGAAUCAUUAUGGAUGUAUGUCUCACUGAACAUUCUUUCUAGAGUAGUUUUUAAUAUGAAUUAACAUAAAUUUUGUUAUAGCUAGUUCUAUAUAAUCAAAUUACUUUAUGGAUAGAGAAAUACAAAAAUGAACAUAGCCUAAUGGGAAGUUGAAAGGUUAACGUUCAAAUUAUUUGAGGAAUAACCCUUUUCUUUUAGAUUCUUUGGUCUAUUUUUUCUUCUGAAUAUUUAUUGGUAACACCAUAGCAGCUCUAUUGCUUGCUGGAAAAAUGAACGUUCAGUUAAUCCUCAAAUAAUUUCCGUGCAUAGAACCAUGAAUAAAUAAUUUGCAUCCAAUCUGUCAAAUUUGGAGUGGAAGUGUUCCAACAAAUUUUCCCAAGAUAAGCGUGAUUUUAAUGAAGUAAUUGUUCAUUCAGUCCAUUUCCUGUGAUUGCGCCCAGCUUAACUGGUCAAACGCUGACCAAUAUUUGUUACUUACUACUGUGAUUGCCAAAGUCUAACAAAUAUGCAUGGUGAUUUUGAUUAACUAAAAGAUGAGUUAUGGACAUUUGUUUGGAUAAUUGCUCCAUGCAAGCCACGUAGUAAAAGUUUGCCUGCCAUAUAUGGUGAUUUUGAUUAGCUAAAAGAUGAGUUAUGGACAUUUUUUUUGGGGUGGGGUGUGGCUCGUUCUGUGAGCAGCCAAGCAAACUGUUUAUGGGAAUAUUAUUAAUUAGAGAAUAUAAAUAUAGAAUAU